rnacentral:sRNA from 1 species
UUGGAUUUUCUUCCUCCUAUAGUGUUAUACACGUGUUGCUCAUCGUGGAAGGGAAGAAACAUGGAAAAGCGGGCUCUUCCAUUUGCUUCCACAGAUUUCUCGAGCUCUCUCUCAAGCUCCGAAUCGCUGGCCUCCGCAAGAAGGAAAUCGCCAAUUUGAAAGCUUGGUUUCCUGCUUUCUCACUAGAGAUCUCUGCCAUGGCUGCUCCACCAAACUUGCGUCCGCUCUUUCGAACCAGUGCUUGCUUUUGCUUUCACCCAGGUAUCAAAUUCGGUUUUGUUUGUAUGGUAACAUGGAUUGCUCAGGUUACGUAGGAGAGGAUGGAGGUGAGAAAUACAAUUGGGAAAGAUAUGCUGAGAGGUUUACAAAACACCUUUGAAGCUGUCGUAGCUUGAAUGGAAGAUGCAAUUCCAACACCUAUCAAUCAGGUACAACUGUAUAAAAAGGCAACAAAGAUUAAAGUCCACGUGUGUAGAAUGUGGAGACCGAGAAUUUCAGGAACGACUGAUAAAAUUACAAGUCUGCACUGUAUACUGGUUGACAAAAGGUGGUACAAUAGUUCUAUCCGAUGAUGGUCGCUAUUUUUCAAAGGAUGCUGUGGAAUUUCAAGAUUGAAAACCGCUGGCUUUCAAUCUUUUAAAACAAAUUACCUUUGUAAGUUUCACUAAUGAAAGAACCCAUGGAGCGUUGUUCAACCCAUUUGUUGGGGCAUGUUAGCAGUGAAGACAAUCAAAGCCCAAUUUAUAUUAGUAGGCGGUGGGUUAGUUAAGAGUGUAUGGAAAAAAGAAGUAAAAUUGGACUACCAUAGUAGAUAGUACCACAUAUUCGUGUAACUAAAACAUUUGAGUUAUUACAUAUUGGUUGCAAACCUUAUGAUACAUUAUAUAUUGGAUUAAGGUUGUAGACUUCGUAUCGUUUAAUGACAUUUGUUUGUAAACCCUGCUGGGAAGAAAUCUCUUCAUUUGAAUUGACUUGCACUUAUUUUUCCUAUAAUUUU